rnacentral:lncRNA from 1 species
AAAAAAAAAAGAUAUUGAGUGAUGAGAAACAAAGGAAAAUAUUAUGUUGCUUAAGGAGGAAGGAUAAUGAUAUUUUGACAACAUUUUUUUGACAAUAUUUUAACAUCAUUUAUGUGUCAUUCUGUGAUUGGUUCAAAAUUACUCUACAAUCAAUAAUAAUAAUCAUAAACACUACCAUGGACCAGUCACAGGAUGACACGUAGAUGAUGUUAAAAUGUUGUCAAAAAAAUAUUAUCAAAGUAUCAUUAU